UACGGGGGGGGGCAAGCGUUGUUCGGAAUUACUGGGCGUAAAGGGCUCGUAGGCGGCCAACUAAGUCGGAUGUGAAAUCCCCAGGCUCAACCUGGGAACUGCAUCCGAUACUGGAUGGCUUGAAUCCGGGAGAGGGAUGCAGAAUUCCGGGUGUAGCGGUGAAAUGCGUAGAGAUCAGGAGGAACACCGUGGCGAAGGCGGCGCCCUGGUCCGUUACUGACGCUGAGACGCGAAAGCGCGGGGAGCGAAACGGG
rnacentral:rRNA from 1 species